rnacentral:rRNA from 1 species
AAGUCGUAACAAGGUCUCCGUAGGUGAACCUGCGGAGGGAUCAUUACCCAAAUAUGAACGCAGACUGGGCACCCUAGAGAGGAGCGAUUCGUCGCCCCCCCUCCUGGGCCGGUCUGACGCCAUAUUCACCCAUGUCUUUUGCGUACUACUUGUUUCCUUGGCGGGUUCGCCCGCCAUUAGGACCCAACUAUAAACCUUUUUGUAAUUGCAAUCAGCGUCUGAACAAACAAUGUAAUAAAUUACAACUUUCAACAACGGAUCUCUUGGUUCUGGCAUCGAUGAAGAACGCAGCGAAAUGCGAUAAGUAGUGUGAAUUGCAGAAUUCAGUGAAUCAUCGAAUCUUUGAACGCACAUUGCGCCCUUUGGUAUUCCAAAGGGCAUGCCUGUUCGAGCGUCAUUUGUACCCUCAAGCUUUGCUUGGUGUUGGGCGUUUUUGUCUUGGGGUCCGCCCCGAGACUCGCCUUAAAAUCAUUGGCAGCCGGCCUACUGGUUUCGGAGCGCAGCACAUUUUUUGCGCUUUGGUCUAGUGGUCCCGCGUCCAUGAAGCGAAUACAUUUUUUCAAUUUGACCUCGGAUCAGGUAGGGAUACCCGCUGAACUUAA